UUUAACUGAAGAGUUUGAUCAUGGCUCAGAUUGAACGCUGGCGGCAGGCUUAACACAUGCAAGUCGAGCGGGGGAAGGUAGCUUGCUACUGGA
rnacentral:rRNA from 1 species